UGAAUAGUUAAAACUUUUGAAAGGCCUGGAAUAUUAUACCUAUCAGAAAAAAUAAAUUAAUUAUAAUUACCUAACCAGAAGAAGAAAAAAUAAGGAAUAGUUAUAAAUUUAAAAGGUGUUCAUAUAAUGACUGUGAGCUCAUUUCUUGCCUCUUGGUGAGUUGAUUCCUUUUUUUGUUGAAGGUCAGCUUCAUCAGGGCUGCUGCAUACAGCUGUUCAGGCUAUGCACUGCACAGGUCCAGGGAGACCAUUCUAGACUGUAGUGUGAUAGUAGAGUUUGGUGGCCCUGUGUGAAUUUAGCAAGAAGAAUUUUGACUGGACUUAAGUAAAUUUGUCAUAAAUUUUUUUAAAAAUUUGCUCAGAAAUGAGUUACUAAAAGUGUUAGCGGAAAUUCAAGGUUGUUGGUUUUGAAUGAUGAUACAUAUGUGCAUAAAACUUUAAGUGCCUCUGAUAAUUACAAGGGCAUUGAGAAGGAGCUCUGUACACCCUCCUAGUUCAUUUUUUUCUAUUCUAUACACUUAAUUUACUUGAAAACAGGAAAAUUUCUCUUAUAAUUUUUGUAUCUCCAUCUUAAAAAUCACACAAAUAAUGUGACCAAGCUCUACCUUUUGACAGGUUUUUAUUUGAUUUUGCUGUCUGUAGACCUGUAAACACAUCUUAAUCAGAAUACUGUUUUCUGAACUAGUGUUCUGUUAGGAAGAUGUUUUUGAGGACCACAUGGGUUAAAGCACCUCAAAAAGAAAUCACCAUGAAAAAUCAUUGGGAUAAAGGUUAAAUCCAGGAUCCUCAGAAGGUUAGGCCCUUGAUCUCAUCUUUGAAUGACUGUCACAAUUAAAGUACACAGAGUACGCUGAGAAUUUACUGCAAAUGUGAGAAUUGUGCAGGCAGAGCCAAGUUAUUAAAGGACAUUGAAUCAAGGUGGUCUGGAACGGAACCUGCAAUAUCUCCAAGGUAUACCUGCAUACAUAGAAACAUUUUUUUAAGAUUAAUCAUUAAGUAUUAUAUAGACCUGUCUCCCUGAAAGGCUUAUGACGUUUAGCAGUGAAAAGGUAGCUAUGAUAAUCUUUACUAUCUGGAAGGAAGACCUUGAUUCCCUUUUAAGUUCUAGGCUAUUUAAAUUCUGACCCUGGAUGUAACAGUCUGCCCUUUCUUAUUGAUUUGAACAAAUAGCAGAACCUAAUAGAUGAGUUAAAAUAUUCUCAUGAAGAAAAGGAAUAUUGAUAAUCCAGUUGGCAUAUUUAGUGGUAAUAUUCUUUAUGCUGUAAUGCUUUUAUUUCUGUUGGG